AGACUCUGGCUUCUCCACAGCUCGAAUAAAUCUUUUUUUUUUCACUAAAGAUUUCCGUGGAGAGGAGCAUUUACGAGUGCGAUCCAAUUUUUGGACAGCCCUUACCCUCUGGGAGGGGCU